ACACUUCCUACUUGUCACACACUUCUGGUGUGGUGUUUGUCAAAUAUACCCUCGGACUAAAUCAAACUCUCGUUACUUCAGAUACCAAUCUCUUCUUUUUAUUGAUUUAUUUUUUCAAUUUAAAAAUGUAAAAUAAAAAAGCACUUUCCCAAUUGUGUUUUCGAAUCCUUAACUCUAAUUUUGACUAAACUUCAUUCAAGAUAGUGAUUCAGUGUUUGAACCCAAAUGAUCUCGUGUGGCCGUGCUCCAGCUCCUCCUCCUCGACCGCCGGUGAGCCACGCCAUGAAUUCCGAGCUCAAGAUCUUCGUGGAUGGCCGCCGGUGUUCGUUUUCUUCCGGGGAACAACAGAGUCAAGUGUGGUCCCAUCCAGAGAGCACAUUGUGAGCUUUCCCAAUCUGAUUCUACAAGAAACUCUGCUUUUGAACAAUUCAAGAACUCUGGAGGAUAUACAACGGAAAUGAGUAGUAUUGUGGUGACUGGACUUAGCACUCACACCUCUCCUGUUGAGAUGCAUGAGAAGCUUUCUAUCCAGAAGCUGAAUGACCACGAGCUAUUGGAUGAUGUGCUCAGUACUUGCAACUGUAUAGAGAUUUAUGUUUAACUCUUUCUCAGCAGUGUAGAAUUAAAGAAGUCACUGAAUAUAUAUCAAAGUGGAAGAGACAAAGUUACCAAGGGGAAGAAAAGUAACGAAGAAGCUGUUACAACACCAGUUACCAAAAGGAAGAAAGAUAACGAAUGACAAGCUUUAUGCAACAGAGAGCUCUGUAUCUCUUGCAAAUGGUUGUGACCCUCUAAUUGCAUCACUCUUUGUUCUAAGGGAUGACAAGCUGUUUGAUGGGAAUUUGAUUAUUAAUUCUAUAACUGAUCUUACUAAUAUACUUUCUAACUAUGUGUUCUAAGCUUUUGAAAAAAUGUUUAAUGUUAUGUCAACAAUAUUAGAAUAAACCAUUGUUUGAUUA